UUUGGUCAAGAUCCUAGAGGAAUUGUGAAUCAAGUCAUGAUAUACAUCAACAACAAAGCAAACAUGCCAAAAAGGUAUGACGUGUUUCUUACUGUAAUCACUAAUAUUUUCCCUUGUGAUGGAGGCCCAGAUUCGAGAACGAUUCUUUUGAGGUAGGGAGGGGAUGAUGUGAUCCUAGACUGCACAUAAUUAAUUCUAAAGAUGCAAUCUUGCAUCAAUGAGGAAUGCCCAGAAUAGAAAAGUAAUUUUAUCCCUGAACACUUUCCUAAUUGGGAUUAUUCCAAGAGAUGGGCCAAGUUUAUCCAAACCAAAAAGCUUAAGGCCCAAGUAAGAUUAACAAACUUAAAAAAUCAAAUGAAAGUCCAAUCUUUAGGCUCAACUCGAGAAGG
rnacentral:lncRNA from 1 species